rnacentral:lncRNA from 1 species
AAGGUAUAUUUAUUUUUUUCCUCUGGUAAUAAUUUAGCAUAGUUUGGUUUUAAAUGGUUGCUUAAUUUUGCUUGAAGAUUGGAACUUGGGUUUUCAGUAUUAUACUAAAUGGAUGGAGUAGCAAUGAAUUAGCAAGUUGGAAGAAUAUUAUUUUGGAAUUUUUAGUUUUAAUGAUAAUGGCAUAUUUAAAUUGCAUACUGAUAAGCUGAAGAUGAUUAGGUUUGGAUUUGGUUUUUCAUGCUUGCCUGGUUUUUUUCCACUAGCAAAGAGGUUGUGUUAAUAGAGUUCAAUAGUUGUGUUGUGAUGGAUGUUUGAUACUCAACAGAAUCACUUAAUGAUCCGUAUUAGACGCUUGAUCCUUUA